UGGUAGGACUGAUACCAAUCCUGAAGGACUCAUUGCUGCAUAUGGCAAGUGGGCUUCUAUUGUAGCUGCUAGAUUAAAUGUUGGAGGCCUCUCUUGCAAGGUUCUUGACAAGGAGGUGUUUCAAAAGCAGAUGUUGGAGAAACUUAUAUGGAUUUGUUCCGUUAUGCUUGUUGGAGCACCUCAUGGAGGGGUUUUAGUAGGUGUCGCGGACAAGGAAUUCCGCACUGAAUUGUCCAGCCUUAUAACAGAACUGGCAUCAGCAGCAUCAAGUGAAAAGGGGUUAACAUUUGAAGAAGCCAUGGAAGAGCGCUUAUGUGCAUAUUCCUGAGCCAUAGCCCACUUUCCCACAGCAGUU